AGGAAAGCAGGGGAUCGCAACCACCUUGNCGCUUUUGGAGCGGCCGAUGUCUGAUUAGCUAGUUGGUGAGGUAAAGGCUUACCAAGGCUUCGAUCAGUAGCUGGUCUGAGAGGACGACCAGCCACACUGGGACUGAGACACGGCCCAGACUCCUACGGGAGGCAGCAGUGGGGAAUUUUGGACAAUGGGGGCAACCCUGUAUCCAGCCAUGCCGCGUGAGUGAAGAAGGCCUUCGGGUUGUAAAGCUCUUUCAGCCGGAACGAAAAGGUUACGGUUAAUACCCGUGACUAAUGACGGUACCGGAAGAAGAAGCACCGGCUAACUACGUGCCAGCAGCCGCGGUAAUACGUAGGGUGCGAGCGUUAAUCGGAAUUACUGGGCGUAAAGCGUGCGCAGGCGGUUUUGUAAGUCAGAUGUGAAAUCCCCGGGCUUAACCUGGGAACUGCGUUUGAAACUACAAAGCU
rnacentral:rRNA from 1 species